CGAAAUGCGAUAAGUAAUGUGAAUUGCAGAAUUCAGUGAAUCAUCGAAUCUUUGAACGCAUAUUGCG
rnacentral:rRNA from 2 species